AAAAAUUUGCUUUCACAUCCAAACUUGAAGAACCUUUCAUAUAGAUUCUGUACGCGUCCCACUCUCUAAUUCCGUUGUAAAUGGCGAGAGCUCCCUUCAGUCUCAUACGCUGCAUGUCUCUGAAUCCGUUUCUUCAUAUAGUUCUAUAGAAGAAAAGGAUAUAAAAUCAUUUCAUUCAUCUCAAAAUUCAAAACCCAUCUCCUGAUAUUUCUCUAAAAUCCUUAAAAACCAUCUUCUCAAUCUUUGCUUUUAUGGCGGGAACUCCAUUGCUGGUGAGAAAGUUUUCAAAGCUUUGAGAUUCUGUGAUUCUUGUUCUUGUUUUUUGCAUUUGGGAUUUGUGUAUCUGUAAAUAUAAGAAUACAGAAUCUCUUCUUUUGAUUGUUUUCUUUCUUUUAUGGCGAACCCAUCUGAUACCCAUCAUCAAGAUGCCAAUCGUGCGCCCUCUUCUUCACUGGAGCAAACCCCACUAAAACAACAAGUCCUAUUCCAGGUUUGAGACAUGACCCUGGUAUCUCCACUGAAUGGAGCAAGGAAGAGCAAACAAGUCUUGAAGAUGGUUUAGUCAAUUGGUGGUGUUACAGGGAAGCUUCUCGAGCAAAAUGCCGAGGCCUUCUAUCAAAUAUCUGCUAAUCUUUCUACAAUGCAGCUACAGAAGAACAUCAGUCUCCUCUGCCGAGUAUGUUGGAACUUGUGCCUUUGAUGAUCUGACUGAGUUGCUGUCAAGCUUGGUCCUAUUUCUUCCCAAAUAGAAUUCGUCUGUCUCGUUUAUAUUUGCAGGUUGAAUGACAUGCCUGAUGUAAUGAAGCAGAUGCCACCAUUGCCAU